rnacentral:tRNA from 1 species
GGGGAUGUGGCUCAGCGGUAGAGCGCUUGCCUAGCAGGCAUGAAGCACUGGGUUCAAUCCCUAGAACCACA